rnacentral:rRNA from 1 species
ACUCCUACGGGAGGCAGCAGUGGGGAAUAUUGGACAAUGGGCGAAAGCCUGAUCCAGCCAUGCCGCGUGUGUGAAGAAGGUCUUCGGAUUGUAAAGCACUUUAGUUGGGAGGAAGGGUUGUAGAUUAAUACUCUGCAAUUUUGUACGUUACCGACAGAAUAAGCACCGGCUAACUCUGUGCCAGCAGCCGCGGUAAUACAGAGGGUGCAAGCGUUAAUCGGAAUUACUGGGCGUAAAGCGCGCGUAGGUGGUUUUGUUAAGUUGGAUGUGAAAUCCCCGGGGCUCAACCUGGGAACUGCAUCCAAAACUGGCAAGCUAGAGUAUGGUAGAGGGUGGUGGAAUUUCCUGUGUAGCGGUGAAAUGCGUAGAUAUAGGAAGGAACACCAGUGGCGAAGGCGACCACCUGGACUGAUACUGACACUGAGGUGCGAAAGCGUGGGGAGCGAAACAGGAUUAGAUA